GUCCUAUCGCGCGACUGGCGAGCUAACGUGGAAUCGACCACGGUGAAGCGCGAAGGGUUCCGACGCCGAUCGCCUGGGCAACCAAU
rnacentral:ncRNA from 23 species